rnacentral:rRNA from 1 species
AGCUCCAAUAGCGUAUAUUAAAGUUGUUGCGGUUAAAAAGCUCGUAGUUGGAUUUCUGUCUAGAUCGGGUGGUCCGUGCUUUGCAUGAGUAUCUACUUCGGUCUGGGCAUCCUCUCAGAGAUCGUGUUGUGCUUGAUUGCAUGAUUCGGAACCUGAGACUUUUACUUUGAGGAAAUUAGAGUGUUCACGGCAGGCAAUCGCAUGAAUACAUUAGCAUGGAAUAAUAAUAUAGGACCUUGGUACUAUUUUGUUGGUUUCUAGCACUAAGGUAAUGAUUAAUAGGGAUAAUUGGGGGCAUUUGUAUUAACGCGUCAGAGGUGGAAUUCUUGGAUUGCGUUACGACAACCUACUGCGAAAGCAUUU